UCCGUAGGUGAACCUGCGGAGGGAUCAUUACAGAGUUGCAAAACUCCCUAAACCAUUGUGAACGUUACCUAAACCGUUGCUUCGGCGGGCGGCCCGGGUCCUUCCCGGCGCCCCCCGGCCCUCGCGGGCGCCCGCCGGAGGUAAACCAAACUAUUGCAUUAAUGGCCUCUCUGAGUCUUCUGUACUGAAUAAGUCAAAACUUUCAACAACGGAUCUCUUGGUUCUGGCAUCGAUGAAGAACGCAGCGAAAUGCGAUAAGUAAUGUGAAUUGCAGAAUUCAGUGAAUCAUCGAAUCUUUGAACGCACAUUGCGCCCGCCAGUAUUCUGGCGGGCAUGCCUGUUCGAGCGUCAUUUCAACCAUCAAGCCCCCGGCUUGUGUUGGGGACCUGCGGCUGCCGCAGGCCCUGAAAUGCAGUGGCGGGCUCGCUGUCACUCCGAGCGUAGUAGUUACAUCUCGCUCUGGGCGUGCUGCGGGUUCCGGCCGUUAAAAGCCUUAUUUACCCAAGGUUGACCUCGGAUCAGGUAGGAAGACCCGCUGAACUUAAGCAUAUCAAUAAGCGGAGGAAAAGAAACCAACAGGGAUUGCCCUAGUAACGGCGAGUGAAGCGGCAACAGCUCAAAUUUGAAAUCUGGCUUCGGCCCGAGUUGUAAUUUGCAGAGGAAGCUUUGGGCGCGGCACCGACUGAGUCCCCUGGAACGGGGCGCCAUAGAGGGUGAGAGCCCCGUAUAGACGGACGCUAAGCCUGUGUAAAGCUCCUUCGACGAGUCGAGUAGUUUGGGAAUGCUGCUCAAAAUGGGAGGUAAAUUUCUUCUAAAGCUAAAUACCGGCCAGAGACCGAUAGCGCACAAGUAGAGUGAUCGAAAGAUGAAAAGCACUUUGAAAAGAGGGUUAAAUAGCACGUGAAAUUGUUGAAAGGGAAACGCUUGAAGU
rnacentral:sRNA from 1 species